UACGUAGGGUGCGAGCGUUGUCCGGAAUUAUUGGGCGUAAAGAGCUCGUAGGCGGUUUGUCGCGUCGACUGUGAAAACCCGAGGCUUAACCUCGGGCCUGCAGUCGAUACGGGCAGACUAGAGUUCGGUAGGGGAGACUGGAAUUCCUGGUGUAGCGGUGAAAUGCGCAGAUAUCAGGAGGAACACCAGUGGCGAAGGCGGCCAACUGGUCCGAUACUGACGCUGAGGUGCGAAAGCGUGGGGAGCAAACAGG
rnacentral:rRNA from 1 species